CAAACGACUCUCGGCAACGGAUAUCUCGGCUCACGCAUCGAUGAAGAACNNNNCAAAAUGCGAUACUUGGUGUGAAUUGCAGAAUCCCGUGAACCAUCGAGUUUUUGAACGCAAGUUGCGCCCGAAGCCAUUCGGUCGAGGGCACGUCUGCCUGGGCGUCACGC
rnacentral:rRNA from 1 species